GUGACCACGUGCGUUUUCGGUUUUUUUAAACAUUCCAGCAGUUCAGUUAUUAUUUGUAUGUUUGACCACUACUAUGAGCCUGCUAGUUCCACGGAUGCAUGGGGGGAUGAUAAUGAAAGUGUGAUUUGAUAUGAUGUUUGUUGCGAAAUGUAUCAAUGGUUGUACCCCCAUCCAAUAUAGAAAGAUGAUGUUAUCAUAUUUAAUCAAGAAGUAAUAUGUCAAAUUUGUUAUACAAUGUCACUACUUGGCUUUAUUGAACCGAUUAAAUUAUCAUACAUGUUCAUUAGAAAUCCAGCAUUCCAAGAAAAAUUAACUCGGGAAUUCAAUCUUCCGUUCCCUUCGAAUUUUUAAUAGUAGAGUGGAGAACAAACCAAGGUUGCUAGGCAGAAAAACCAGAGGAGGAGGAAGAUUCAAAAGUUUAUUUUUGAAUAUAUAAGAGUAGUAUGAGCCUGCCCGUUCAACGAACGCAUGGGGGAUGAUAAUGAAACAGUUUUGUGAUGUCAAUAAACUAACCUACGCCCAAAAAGCUAUUGAACAGAUAGAAUUCUCUAGAUAGAGAAGAGAACAAAAACUGUUGCUUCACAGAAAGAAACAGAAGAUGAGGAGGGAUGAGCAAGCAGAUUAAAAAGUUUAUUUUUGUAUAUUAAUAAGAAGAAUAUGGAAAAUGGAGAUGGCAGGAAAGGGAGAGAGGUCUUUUUCUGUAGAGAACAUAUUUUAUUUUAUAAUUAUUUAUUAUGAUAUAAAGAAUAUAUUUCUUAUAGUCUAAAAAAUUUAAUAUUGCUCUUUCCAACUAUUAUUUCACAUAAUGAAUUCAAUGGUAUAAAAUGUAAUAAUAAAAAUAUAUUUAAUCGGUUUAUA
rnacentral:lncRNA from 1 species